GGACUUUGCUACAUUAUCAGAUGUUGGACGCCAGCCCCUGAGAGCUCUGUUUCCUGGUCUGUAUGAUGGAGUUGAGGACACCACAGCCUCAUUGCGCUGUAGGAAGAGCAGAAGAGGGACAGCAGAGCUUGGCGCAUAGGGACGAAUGCACGCGAUGUAACAGAUUGAAGGUCUGCGGCAACCCUGCAUAGAGCAAGUCUAUUGGCACCAUUUUUCCAACAGCAUUUUCUCACUUUGUAUCUCUCUGUCCCAUUUUGAUAAUUCCCCAGAUGUUUUGAGCUUUUUCAUUAUUAUUAUUAUAUUCAUUAUGAUGAUCUGUAAUCAGUGAUCUUUGGCGUUACAACCAUAAUUGUUUUGGGGUACCACGAACUGCUCACAUAUAAGACAGCAAACUUAGUGAGAUAUUGAAAUGAUAACAAAGAACUUAGAAUAUGACAUAAACUUAGCUGAUAAAUCAAUGGCAGGGUUUGAGAGGACUGGCUCCAAUUUUGAAAGAGCCUCUACCAUGGGAAAAAGUCUUCAAGCAGCGUUGCCUGCUACAGAGAACUUGUUCGUGAAAGGAAGUGUCAAUCAGUGCAGCA
ensembl:lncRNA